rnacentral:pre_miRNA from 1 species
AAUGAAAGAUUUUUUGAGUUUUGUAUCGAACUUUUAACUCUUCGUUUUAUUUGAAAAUUUUUUAUGAUUAAUAUUUUUAUUGUUAUUACAUGAUAAAAUAUAAAUAGUACUUAAUUUUUUUCAAUUUUUUAAUAAAAUUUUUAAAUAAGACAGAUGGUCAAACGCUCCAUAGACAAAACUCAGG